rnacentral:rRNA from 1 species
CGGAGACGGAUAGUGUGACCCUCUUAAUGGAUUGAGGGCGAAGCGAAGCGGCUGGUUACCAGGCAAAUCCGGUAACCAUAAGGCUAGAGCGUGAUAGGUAAGCGAAAUCUUAGGAGAGUAGCGAAGCACAUGAUGACGGCUUCCAGGAAAAGCUUCUGGCAAUGCAUAUGCGGCCCGUACCAAAACCGACACGGGUGGGCAGGGAGAGAAUCCCGAGGUGAGCGAGAGAACUGUUGCCAAGGAACUCGGCAAAAUGACCCCGUAAGUUAGCGAGAAGGAGUGCUUAAGCAAUUAAGCCGCAGUGAAGAGGCCCAAGCGACUGUUUAACUAAAACACAGCUCUCUGCGAAGUCGCAAGACGAAGUAUAGGGGGUGACACCUGCCCGGUGCUGGAAGGUUAAGAGGAUCUGUUAAGAGCGAUCUGAAGCAGUGAUCCGAAGCCCCAGUGAACGGCGGCCGUAACAAUAACGGUCCUAAGGUAGCGAAGUUCCUUGUCAGGUAAGUUCUGACCCGCACGAAAGGUGUAACGAUUUGGGCGCUGUCUCGGCAGCAGACUCGGUGAAAUCUUAGUACCUGUGAAAAUGCAGGUUACCCGCAACUAGACGGAAAGACCCCAUGGAGCUUUACUGCAGCCUGAUAUUGAGUUCUGGUCAUACAUGUACAGGAUAGGUGGGAGACAAAGAGACGUGCACGCCAGUGUACGAGGAGUCGACGUUGGGAUACCACUCUUGUGUGACCGGGGUUCUAACCUGGUAUCGAGAACAGGUACGGGGAGAGUGUCAGGUGGGCAGUUUGACUGGGCGGUCGCCUCCCAAAGAGUAACGGAGGCGCCCAAAGGUACGCUCAGAUUGGAUGGAAACCAAUCGUCGAGUGCAAUUGCAGAAGCGUGCUUGACUGUGAGACUUACAAGUCGAACAGGGACGAAAGUCGGGAAUAGUGAUCCGGCGGUGCCGAAUGGAAGGGCCGUCGCUCAACGGAUAAAAGCUACCCUGGGGAUAACAGGCUGAUCUCGCCCAAGAGUUCACAUCGACGGCGAGGUUUGGCACCUCGAUGUCGGCUCAUCGCAUCCUGGAGCUGGAUUCGGUUCCAAGGGUUGGGCUGUCCGCCCAUUAAAGCGGUACGCGAGCUGGGUUCAGAACGUCGUGAGACAGUUCGGUCCCUAUCUGUUGUGGGCGAAGGAGAUCUGCGGAGAGCUGUCCUCAGUACGAGAGGACCGGGAUGGACCUACCGCUGGUGCACCGGUUGUUCCGCCAGGGGCAUAGCCGGGUAGCUAAGUAGGGAAAGGAUAAGUGCUGAAAGCAUCUAAGCACGAAGCCUACUCCAAGAUGAGAUCUCCCAUUCGCAAGAAGUAAGACCCCUUAAAGACGAUAAGGUAGAUAGGCCAGAGAUGGAAGUGCAGUGAUGUACGGAGUUGACUGGUACUAAUCGGUCGAGGACU